AUGGGUAUACCGAACAACUCCUUGCAUAUCAAUUGAAGAAUCCUCCUUUAAUUUAGCUUAUGGGACAGAAGCAAUAAUCUCACUUAAAAUUGGACUGCCAUUAACAAGGGUGAAACAAUACAGUGAGUCAAACAAUUUCGAAUGUCAGAGAACGCGACUUAGAUCUCCUUCCAGAACUCCAACAGCAAGCUCAAGUUCAGAUGGCUGCAUAUCGGUAAAGGAUAGCCCGAUAUUAUAAU
rnacentral:lncRNA from 1 species